rnacentral:rRNA from 1 species
CCUACGGGAGGCUGCAGUAGGGAAUAUUGCUCAAUGGGGGAAACCCUGAAGCAGCAACGCCGCGUGGAGGAUGAAGGUUUUCGGAUUGUAAACUCCUUUUGUUAGAGAAGAUAAUGACGGUAUCUAACGAAUAAGCACCGGCUAACUCCGUGCCAGCAGCCGCGGUAAUACGGAGGGUGCAAGCGUUACUCGGAAUCACUGGGCGUAAAGAGCGCGUAGGCGGGAAAGCAAGUCAGAUGUGAAAUCCUAGGGCUUAACCAUAGAACUGCAUUUGAAACUGUGAGUCUAGAGUAUGGGAGAGGUAGGUGGAAUUCUUGGUGUAGGGGUAAAAUCCGUAGAGAUCAAGAGGAAUACUCAUUGCGAAGGCGACCUGCUAGAACAUAACUGACGCUGAUGCGCGAAAGCGUGGGGAGCAAACAGGAUUAGAUACCCCAGUAGUC